rnacentral:rRNA from 1 species
UACGUAGGGACCAAGCGUUGUUCGGAUUUACUGGGCGUAAAGGGCGCGUAGGCGGCAAUUCAAGUCAGUUGUGAAAUCUCCGAGCUUAACUCGGAACGGUCAACUGAUACUGUUUUGCUAGAGUGCAGAAAGGGCAACCGGAAUUCUUGGUGUAGCGGUGAAAUGCGUAGAUAUCAAGAGGAACACCCGUGGCGAAGGCGGCCAUCUGGACCAGCACUGACGCUGAGGCACGAAAGCGUGGGGAGCAAACAGG